UUUAUGGAGAGUUUGAUCUUGGCUCAGGACGAACGCUGGCGGCGUGCCUAAUACAUGCAAGUCGAGCGCGGGAAGCAAGUAGAUCUCCUUCGGGAGUGACGCUUGUGGAACGAGCGGCGGACGGGUGAGUAACACGUGGGCAACCUACCUGUAAGACUGGGAUAACCCCGGGAAACCGGGGCUAAUACCGGAUGAAACAAAGCGU
rnacentral:ncRNA from 1 species